rnacentral:rRNA from 1 species
CUAGGAAUCUGCCUGGUAGUGGGGGACAACGUUUCGAAAGGAACGCUAAUACCGCAUACGUCCUACGGGAGAAAGCAGGGGACCUUCGGGCCUUGCGCUAUCAGAUGAGCCUAGGUCGGAUUAGCUAGUUGGUGAGGUAAUGGCUCACCAAGGCUACGAUCCGUAACUGGUCUGAGAGGAUGAUCAGUCACACUGGAACUGAGACACGGUCCAGACUCCUACGGGAGGCAGCAGUGGGGAAUAUUGGACAAUGGGCGAAAGCCUGAUCCAGCCAUGCCGCGUGUGUGAAGAAGGUCUUCGGAUUGUAAAGCACUUUAAGUUGGGAGGAAGGGCAGUAAGCGAAUACCUUGCUGUUUUGACGUUACCGACAGAAUAAGCACCGGCUAACUCUGUGCCAGCAGCCGCGGUAAUA